GAUGAACGCUGGCGGCGUGCCUAAUACAUGCAAGUCGAGCGAACAGACGAGGAGCUUGCUCCUCUGACGUUAGCGGCGGACGGGUGAGUAACACGUGGAUAACCUACCUAUAAGACUGGGAUAACUUCGGGAAACCGGAGCUAAUACCGGAUAAUAUAUUGAACCGCAUGGUUCAAUAGUGAAAGACGGUUUUGCUGUCACUUAUAGAUGGAUCCGCGCCGCAUGAGCUAGUUGUGAAGGUAACGGCUUACCAAGGCAACGAUGCGUAGCCGACCUGACAGGGUCGUCGGCCCGACUGGAGCUGGUGCCCGGUCCAAUCGCCUACGGGAUGCAGCCGUGGCGCAUACGCCGCGAUGGGCGGAAGCAUAAUGGACCAAGGGCGGGUGAGUGAUGAAGGUACGCCGCUCGCAGAACUAUGGUAUUCGGGAUGAACAACUGUGUAAGUAACUACGCACGUUGUGACGCUACCUUGUCAGAAAGCAACGGCUAACUACGUG
rnacentral:rRNA from 1 species